rnacentral:rRNA from 1 species
UACGAAGGGUGCAAGCGUUACUCGGAAUUACUGGGCGUAAAGCGUGCGUAGGUGGUUUGUUAAGUCUGUUGUGAAAGCCCCGGGCUCAACCUGGGAAUGGCAAUGGAUACUGGCAGGCUAGAGUGCGGUAGAGGGUAGUGGAUUCCCGGUGUAGCGGUGAAAUGCGUAGAGAUCGGGAGGAACACCAGUGGCGAAGGCGGCUACCUGGACCAGCACUGACACUGAGGCACGAAAGCGUGGGGAGCAAACAGGAU